AUAUUUCUACAUGUAACUAGGUGACUACGCCUUGCAGCUUCCCCUACGUUAUAGGCUUUUUAACUUCAUUAUGUGAUCAGGCAUGUUGCCAACUUUGAAGGCCAUUCCACACAUCUGAGUGAUCUGGCUUGCCGUCCAGGUGAUUUAAGUGCCAAUCUUGAUAAAGGUCCGCAUAAGGACCGAAACGUCGAUGAAAUACGGCAUCAACAGUGAACCCGAAUAAAAAUAUACUGAAUUUACAAGUGACUUCAGAGACUAAUUUCUGGGCGCGA